UUCAUCAAAUUCUCUGUUUAAUAAAUACUAGUAGUACUUGUACCUGAAGUUUUUAUAAAUAGGAGAUACUACUAUCAGAGACGUUCUCCAUUUUUGAAAAUCCAAAAGUAAAAAUGAAUAAAGUCACCAUUAUUUUCUUACUGAUAUUGAUUCUGUCACUUACUAAUUGUGAGGAUUCAAGCACAAUACAAACUAUAGAUCUAUCAGAAGGAACUCGCGUAAAAUUGAACAGUGUUUACGAAAAAAACAAUCUACUUAGCGUCGAAUGGAAUACGUUUCCCGGUGAACCUACAUUCGUAAACUUUACAAUUCGUCUCGAUAAUCUAGUAGACGAAAUCAAUGAUGAAUGCAUUCUAGAUCACUAUACAGAUUCAGAUAUAGACACAAUAGAAUUGAUUUCAGUCAAUCAGCUGAGUAAACGUCACGUACUUACAGAAUGGAAACAUUCGCCUAAAGAGCAGGUUUUCAGUUAUGCUAUGGAUAUUCGAAAGAUCUUAGUCAUCGAUAUUCUGCAUUGCGAAUAUGUUCAGAAUAUUACCUAUCCAGUGUCAGUAAGAAAAAUUCCAAAAGAUGUGAUUGUUUACUACGACGAAGGUUUCGACGUUAUUAUGAGUGGCUGGGAUUGCGGUGCAGCAACCAACUGUCGUGAGAGAUACGACAUUAAUGGUAAGAAGCUCUAUGAUAUAAACUUCUUGCCGCUAAAUUUUUCUUGGAUGACCUGGCAAUCAGUGUCGAAAAAAUUACGCUCAAAGGGCUUUUUCAUGCGAGGUACGAACACCGAAGAAAAUUCAGCGACGCAGGUAUAUCUCGUCAAAAGCGGAGUUGAAAACUUGCUGAAUUUACGCGCUAGACAUAGGAUAAUAAGUCACGCAGAGAGUGAGAAAUGGUACGUUAUUUGCGGUCAAGAUAUAUAUAACGUGGAGUUGAUUGUUUGCGCACAAUAUCACAUUUCGAAAGGUAAAGUAUUCGAGACAGAAAUGACAUUGUCCAGGCAAUUGAAAUUCAUAGGUGUACAUGGUUUGAUUAGAGGUGGUGUUUUGUUGUUUGCAAUCGAGGAAAAUGCAAAGUUAUUAAUAGCUAAAAUGAUUCCUGGUGUACAAACUGAAAUUCAGAAUAUCGAAUUAAAAUGGCAUGCUUGCAAUGGAAGUGAUUUUGUGAUACAAGUGAGUCAAUCUGAAAGAAAGUUUACUAUUGUAUAUGAGAGUAAUGAGCCUAAACAUAAAGUGGUUAUAAAAACUAUCGAGUUUUCGAAAAACUCACGUUAAAAUUGAAAGAGAAUAUAGACUCAUGACUCAUUUUAAUCUUAACGUAAGAUUGUAUUUUGUAUUAAUGUUAUUAAUAUGAAAAAUUAACAAAUUUUGAGAUUUUUAAUGCCUUAUUUCAGUUGAUGAAUAAUAUACUAUAUUUUUAGAUGUUGAAAAUAAUGUGUCAUCAUAAAAAAUUUAAUAGUUUUUAAUGAAAAUUGAUAAUGACUAUCACAAACAAUUUUGAAAAAGUACGUAUAUUGCAAUGUCGUUAAUCGUCUUUGUACCAUUUUCUUAGUGAUAAGAUAGAAUAUAUUACGAAAGACACUGUUGACUGAAAACUUUAAGAGUUAACCAUUUCAAUAAUUAUUAUAAAAGUUUUAAAUACAUGAAAGCAAUAGAUCCAGUAAUUUUUGCACUUAUAUUGACAAUCGACUGCUUUAUCUAUUUAAAAAGAAGUUGCUUAUAACUUAAAAAAUCGUUUUAAGUCAUUAAUCAAAAUUUACAACUGAACGAAAACUUAUAGAAAUUCACAGGACAAUUAAUAGUGAUUACUUUAUUUAUAAUAAAUGAUAUUUGCUUUGAAUGACAAAAUAUAAAGUUUAAUAUAUUAUUUAACCCUCAUGUACAAAAAGCAGGACAAAAAGUGGCUGGUUAUAAGGCGAUAAAACUGUCUGCGUCAAUUUCAAAUCUUAUCGAAUUUCACAACAUGACUUGGGAGUCAGAGUAGUGGUCGAUUUAAGAAAGGGAGUCUUUAAAGAAAUGGUAGUAUCGUACUAGAAGUUGUAGUGUUUGUGCAAGAAGAGAUCGCGUUCUACUAAACAAUAACAGCUUCAAAUUUUAUAAUUUUAAUUGAGAAGAAAAACAAGAUUUAAGGAUGGGAUUGCUCAGUAUGUUAUCGAUUGUAUUUUUCGCACUGUUUGCUGUUAUAACUGUCACUCAAAGUUGGAAAAUAGAUGACAGCACAUGGCUAUUAAAGUUCAAAGGACUCUCGAAAGACUCAAAAAUAUUACUAGGCAAAGGUAUUGACGACAAUCAGGUUGUCUUCAUCGAAUGCUUGCACAUUAAAUCGGCAAAUUGUACAAUUUACACCCGCAACCAAGACAAGUGCAACGUGAUCAUAGAUAAAAAACAUCCUUCUGAUACUUCUGUACUCUCGGUCACUCAGGUUACUGGUAACAAAGUAAUCGUCGAGUCAGAUAGAAAGGAUCAGAAUAAUGUAAUUACUUUAAUCGACACGGAUAGGUGUGAAGUGAUGAAACAUUUGCAACUAAAUAAGACGAAUUUAGUUAAAAUCAUUUUCGAAAAUGGCAUUGACAUGAUAACUAGUACAAACAAAAGAAUUCGUUUUGACCUUAAUGGUAAUCCAACUUAUGAAAGACCUAAAGUCUUUCGUCUUCCCGAAGGAGAUGUUGUCAAGCUGGCACCUGUAUCAAGAAGGUGGCGAUCCAAGGGCUUCUUCGCUUCCAUUUCCAAUGAUACUCAGCUCAAGAUGAACCUGAUUCUUGACGAUGGCACACUUUAUAAAGAAUUGCUGGAGAUUCGUACAUAUCAAUUAAUAGCAGAAGAUCAAUCCAAACAAUUUUUGACUGUUUGCUGGGACGACGACACACUCGACAAUGACAAGAUCAAAUGCGCGCAGUACGAUGAAUUGGCCAACGAAAAAUUUAAAAAAGAACUCGAGCAUCCUAGCUCGGAAAAAUUAUUUGCACUGCGAAACUUGAGAAAUGGUGGGUUCGUACGUUUCGCGUACAAUAAGAACUUGACGAAGAUCCGGGCUACUGUAGCAUAUCUUGACCGAGAACCCGAACAAUCUAUUUAUAAUAUUAAUGCGGGCACUAAUGAAAUACUACUGGCAGAUUUUUACGAAAAAGAUGGAACAUUUAUAGUCGCAUAUAUAGAUAAGGAUGAUACGGCACCAGAUGUCAAAGGGUUUGUAUUACAAAAAUACAAAUUACCAGGUUCACUGGGACAGCAAGGUUAAUAAAUCUAUGAAAAAUGCGUAUAUUACAAUUUUCAUUAAUUUAUGUAUAUUUAUAAUUAUGACGAAUAUUUGUAUAGAUAAAUAAAGGAUAUUUUUGCAUUAAAAAGUAGAUCUGAUCGUACCCAAUCAGUAAUUUGAAAUACAAUGACAUUUUUCAAUAUUAUUUAAAAUCGCUACUUCCUAAUCAGUCCUCAGAUUCUCCUAUUUAAUAUUUCAUGAAUAUUUAAAGAAGAUAACUUGAAAAAUCAUGAUACAAAGUAAGAGAAAAGUAAGCUAUUCUCUUAUAGGCAGAUAGCCACCUCGAUGCCAAGCCGAAGAUCAUAAACCCCUCAGAGGUAUGACCGGAUUUUAAUGAUCAAAAACAUAUUACUGUGAAGUCGGGGAUGUGGGA